GGCCCCGUGGUCAAGCGGUCAAGACACCGCCCUUUCACGGCGGUAACAGGAGUUCGAUUCUCCUCGGGGUCACCA
rnacentral:tRNA from 3 species